rnacentral:rRNA from 1 species
CUUACAGGGCGAUGAUGCAUAGCCGAGUUGAGAGACUGAUCGGGCCACAUUGGGACUGAGACACGGGCCAAAACUCUACGGGGAGGCAGCAGUGGGAAUCUUCCACAAUGGACGCAAGUCUGAUGGAGCAACGCCGCGUGAGUGAAGAAGGUUUUCGGAUCGUAAAAGCUCUGUUGUUGGUGAAGAAGGAUAGAGGUAGUAACUGGCCUUUAUUUGACGGUAAUCAACCAGAAGUCACGGCUAACUACGUGCCAGCAGCCGCGGUAAU